rnacentral:rRNA from 1 species
UACGAAGGUGGCAAGCGUUGUUCGGAUUUACUGGGCGUAAAGCGUGCGUAGACGGUUAUGUAAGUCGGGUGUGAAAGCCCCGGGCUCAACCUGGGAAUGCCAUUCGAGACUGCAUAGCUAGGGUGCGGAAGAGGGAAGCGGAAUUUCCGGUGUAGCGGUGAAAUGCGUAGAUAUCGGAAGGAACACCAGUGGCGAAAGCGGCUUCCUGGUCCAGCACCGACGUUCAGGCACGAAAGCGUGGGGAGCAAACAGG